GUGCUUGGGGUAGUAAACAGAUAUGGGCUCGAAACUUAAAGAAUUUGGCGGUAUCUAAGUCUAGUUAGAGGAACCUGUGCUGUAAACGAUAAACCACGAGUAUCUUGCUUUACAUUGAAAUUUCAGUACGUAUACCGCCAUUAUCAGAUAAUCUUUGAAGGGGUUUGUCGGAAUAAAUUGGAAAUUUAGGAUAUUAGGUCAAGGUGCGGCUAAUAGUAAAGUUGACAUGGGUUACAUUGAGAUUAGUUGGUGCGGAUAGAUCUGGUAAUGGCAGAUUUAGUAAGGUGGAUUUAAUAGU
rnacentral:rRNA from 1 species